AAAAGCUAAUGAGUGAUGUAUCUGAAUGAAUGAAUGCUGAUAGUAAUUAAUAUGUUCAGUAUUUUAAAUGUUGUAAGUAAUGAGUUAAUGACGUGUGGAGAAAUGUAUUCCUAAAAUGUAAACAAAUGACAAGUACCAGUUCUAAUAUCUUUAUUUCUACAGCCAAAGUCCUGGAAUAAAAAUGAUCAGAAUUAGAUUGUUAAAUUCAGUGUUAAACUGGAUAAAAUGAUGUCUAUUAACCCUAGUUUGAACAUUAGCAGGACCUUCCACACCUCAAUCUUCAGUCAGCUUAGAUACAGAUACACUCUCUCUGACUUCAAAAAGCAGUGCCAGUGAGGACAGUGACUGGUUUAGUCCAAAACGAUUCAGAAAGGAUGAUGAUGAGGCUUCACAAAGCACACAGGCCAGAGAUUUGAUAAAAACAAAUUCUACAGACAAGACCGGUGUGCUUACAAAUGUGCUUAAGGAGUAUGAAGAUGCAGGGACAAUUAGUGAUGACACGAGAAAAGUGAUGGUGAACAUCUUAGUUGCACACAUGAUUGAAACAGAAGGGUAAUUAUCAAAAUAUAAUUGUCUUGGGUUGUUGAUUUGUUCGUGAUUAUGACAAUACAUAGAUUGUGAAGUAUAUUGAUCUAGUUGGGUGUUACAAAUUUUAUUCUGCUAAUUUUCUAGCUGAUAACCUGUUGAUUUUGUUCUGAAAGUUAGAGUAGUUUAGUUAAAUAUUAUAAAAUUUUUUAAUCAAUAUAUAGUAACAUUGGAGUGUUCCCAUUCUUCAGGAGAGUCCCACAUCGACAUACCAAACAGAAUUACUCUCUCACUCACUCACUCAUUUUCUACCGCUUAUCCGAACUUCUCGGGUCACGGGGAGCCAGGCGUCAUCGGGCAUCAAGGCAGGAUACACCCUGGACGGAGUGCCAACCCAUCGCAGGGCACACACACACUCUCAUUCACUCACUCAAUCAAACAGAAUUAUGGUUUGGGAAUUAUCACCUUGUUUCCCUCACUCAGAGAUCCCCAAGGGAGGACUGGAUAUGCAAGUGAUUAUCAAUGAUCAGGGCAUUCAAUAUUUUUGUUGUCAUUUUGAAGUGUUUUUCUAGUAAGUUGUAAUUUUCAUGCGAGAGUUAAAUUAAGAUUUUGUCAUUUGUCAGGAACAUUUUUAUGAUGGCCAAAAAAACACUGGAUUCUUGUCGUGGCCCCUCAAGACAGUACAAAGGGGGAUGAAAGCUUCUGCAAAUAAAGAUGAUCCAAAAACAGAGGAAAAAGGAGGCCCUUUGCUUGACAGACAGUCGUGUUACCAUGAAGAUCAGCUGGAUGAUGAUCAAAGUCUAGAGGCCAUCUCUUUGAUGAAUCAUACAAGCGAACGUGAGGUCAUUAUGCAGAAAAUGAGGGCAACGUUUGAAUACAGACAGCGCCUUGUCCAUGAUCCAGAGAGAUCCACCGCCGUUCUCUGUUUUUCCUAGAUUUCUGGAUACUAAAGGAUUGAUUCUUCAGGACUUCACUCUCCUCUUUGGGUCAGAAACUGCUUCCAGACUUUUGGAAAGGUUAUCAGACUAGCAGAAACCUUGACUCCUACUCCACUGCUGAAAAGAUUACUGUCAUCUGCCAAACAGAACAGAGAAGGCAGCGAGGCACAAGAUUCCCCAGAUUUGGGACGGUGACACAUCUUCAUUCCUUCUGCUUCUGCAUCUCUUAUCACCCCAGGCUUCAGGAAGAAAGAAAAUCCAUAAGAUCAGUGUUUGUCAGGCUGUUGACCAUCUGGUGGUAUUUCACAAAACAUGCCGGAGUAUACAGGAACACCUUGAGACAGAAGAGAAUAGUCAACCAUACAUUCUUGCCUCAGGGUGCAGCAAAGAAGCCAUCAGUCAGUUCUUCAUCGUGGUUGAUAAAAAGAUCAUCCCCUGUCAAGCAUCCUCUUCACUAGCAGCAAUUGAUGAACUGUUCAAGGUCCAUUUUGUCUUCAGCAUCAGCUAUGAUCUUCCAUUCAAAAAUCUAUACACUUUUGUCCAAACUACUGUCUAUGGAAUUGAUGUUGGCACCACAAGUGAGAGCCCAAGGGUAAAGGAGCUCAGAGCUAAAUUCUUGAAUGAUAUUUAGAUGCUACAUCUGCAAAUCACUGCUUGGUACAACAGUUAAAUUAAUUCGGCACCUUAAACUUGUAUAUGGUUUGUACCCUGGGAAGAAAUUUGAGCUAGUUUAUGCUCAGGAUGGCUGUAACUUGCAAUUUAAAAGUUAUGCAGGGUUUAGAAAACAUUUAACUAGAUUUCAUUUUGGGGGUGUAGCAUCAAGUAGUGCAAAUAUAUCACUACAACAUCAACAAGCUCCAAAUCCUGAUGAAGCAGUGUCACUUGUUGUGUCUGACACAGAGCAAAGAUCAGAUAAUGAUGCAAGUUUGCAAGAUUGUUCUUCUGUUUCAAGGGAUGGUUCCAGGGAAAUGUGUGCAUCGAUAAUAGCCAAAUUGCAGGGUAAUGGUGUUGCAAACAGUUUAAUUAUGUCAGUUGUUGAAAGCAUGGAGGAUUUUGUUGAUGAUUUUCAUACAAGUUUAAGAGAGAGAAUUUUAAAUGUCGUGCCAGUUGAUAGCACAAGUAGAAGUUCAGUUGACGAAGUUUUUAAUAGUUUUCAUAAUCCGUUCUCUGAUUUUAAUACCGAUACAAAAUGGAGGAAAUAUUUCAGUGAGAAAUGGGGGGUUGUCGAGCCUAUUGAAAUGCAUUUAGGUGUCAGAUACGAUUCAAGAAGAAAUAAAAUCUCUGGAAUGUUUGAACAGAUUCCAGUUAAUGACACGUUCAUAUAUAUAUAUCCCUCUUCUGAAGACUCUUGUUCAUUUUUAGGAAUGAUGAAGUGUGUAAUCUCAUUCAAGGGAAAUAGCAAAGUGAUAUGUAUCGAGAUUUUUGUGAUGGACAGUAUUACAAAAACCAUCCAUUGUACUCCAUCCAUAGUGGGGAUCACUUCAGAUCCAAAUUUACUAUGAUGAUUUCGAAACAGCAAACCCAUUAGGAUCUAAACAUGGGAUUCAUAAACUUGGCUGUUUAUAUUUUGUGCUUCGAAACUUGCCACCACACAUAAAUUCUUCCUUAAUGAACAUACAUCUAAUUUCUUUGUUCCAUUCUGAAGAUGCGAAAAAAUAUGGCAUGGACAAAAUACUUGGCCCAUUAGUUGAUGAUGUGAAAGAACUUGUGCAGAAGGGAAUGAAGAUGUCAUUUUCUGAGGAGCCCGUUUUUGGGACUAUUUCGCAAAUUACCGGCGAUAACCUUGGUCUAAAUGGUAUUCUUGGUUACGUCGAGUCUUUUUCUGCAAAACAUUAUUGCAGACUUUACCUCACUGACAAGGUUUUAGCACAGGAAGUAUUUAGUGAGGAUGAUCCGCGAGUGAUGUUGCGUAACCGAAACCUAAAUGAGGAGCAUUAUAAGUAUCUUGCUGACAACCCCAACGAAAACUCUUGUUACGGUGUUAAAAGAAAUUCUAUACUCAAUACCUUGACUUACUUUAAUGUAUCUGAGAAUUUUGUGCUGGAUAUUAUGCAUGAUAUCUUGGAAGGAGUUGCACAGUAUGAAGUGAAACUGCUUUUUGAAUACAUGAGUUGCAAUCCUAUUUCUUUCAAUUCCAUUCUUCAGAGAUUAUAUGCCUUCAACUAUGGCUAUUUGGACAAAAAUAACCGUCCAACUAAGGUCAACCUUCAGCAAGCAGGAAAUGGCAUUGGACUCAAUGCAAGUCAGACAUUGUGUCUCAUUAAGAACAUCCCUCUCGUAUUUGCCACAAGCCAUUUGAUUUACGAAUGUCCUAUGGCAAUGACAGACUAUUUUACAUUAGUUUGGAUUGUUAUUUGUAAUAAAUGUGAUUGCCUGGUGUUCAUGUGCUGGAAUAAAUUUUUGAAGGAGUUA